AAUAGAUACCCCGGUAGUCCACGCCGUAAACGUUGGGCGCUAGAUGUGGGGACCUUUCCACGGUUUCCGUGUCGUAGCUAACGCAUUAAGCGCCCCGCCUGGGGAGUACGGCCGCAAGGCUAAAACUCAAAGGAAUUGACGGGGGCCCGCACAAGCGGCGGAGCAUGCGGAUUAAUUCGAUGCAACGCGAAGAACCUUACCAAGGCUUGACAUACACGAGAACGGGCCAGAAAUGGUCAACUCUUUGGACACUCGUGAACAGGUGGUGCAUGGUUGUCGUCAGCUCGUGUCGUGAGAUGUUGGGUUAAGUCCCGCAACGAGCGCAACCCUCGUCGCAUGUUGCCAGCACGUUAUGGUGGGGACUCAUGUGAGACUGCCGGGGUCAACGUCGGAGGAAGGUGAGGAUGACGUCAAAUCAUCAUGCCCCUUAUGUCUUGGGCUACACGCACGCUACAAUGGCCGGGACAAUGGGCAGCCAAACCGCAAGGUGGAGCGAAUCCCACAAACCCGGUCUCAGUUCAGAUCGCGGGCUG
rnacentral:rRNA from 1 species